rnacentral:ribozyme from 2 species
UCUUUAACUCCGCCCGCCGCCCCUCCGAGGGCUACUGCCGGUCCCAAGCCCGGAUAAAGGAGGAGGGUUGG